rnacentral:rRNA from 1 species
AUUGAACGCUGGCGGCAGGCUUAACACAUGCAAGUCGAGCGAGCGGCGGACGGGUGAGUAAUGUCUGGGACACUGCCUGAUUGAGGGGGAUAACUACUGGAAACGGUAGCUAAUACCGCAUACCAUCAGAUGUGCCCAGAUGGGAUUAGCUAGUAGGUUGGGUAAGGGCUCACCUAGGCGACGAUCCCUAGCUGGUCUGAGAGGAGGACCAGCCACACUGGAACGGAGACACGGUCCAGACUCAUACGGGAGGCAGCAGUGGGGAAUAUUGCACUAUGGGCGCAAGGCUGAUGCAGCCAAGCCGCGUGGAUGAAGAAGGCAUUCGGGUUGUAAAGUACUGUCAGCGGGGAGGCGUUACCCGAAGAAGAAGCACCGGCUAACUCCGUGCCAGCAGCCGCGGUAAUAC